GGACCCGCACAAGCGGUGGAUGAUGUGGAUUAAUUCGAUGCAACGCGAAAAACCUUACCUACCCUUGACAUGUCAAGAAUCCCUGAGAGAUUAGGGAGUGCCGCAAGGAACUUGAACACAGGUGCUGCAUGGCUGUCGUCAGCUCGUGUCGUGAGAUGUUGGGUUAAGUCCCGCAACGAGCGCAACCCUUGUCAUUAGUUGCCAUCAUUUAGUUGGGCACUCUAGGGAGACUGCCGGUGAUAAGCCGGAGGAAGGUGGGGAUGACGUCAAGUCCUCAUGGCCUUUAUGUCCAGGGCUACACACGUGUUACAAUGGGGGUGACAAAGGGCAGCGAAACGGUGACGUGGAGCGAAUCCCAAAAAAGCCCUCUCAGUUCGGAUCGCAGUCUGCAACUCGACUGCGUG
rnacentral:rRNA from 1 species